rnacentral:rRNA from 1 species
AACCUGCCCACUGAAUUAUUUUAAAUGGCCGCAGUAUCCUAACUGUGCAAAGGUAGCAUAAUCAUUAGUCUUUUAAUUGAAGGCUGGUAUGAAUGGUUGGACGAGAUAUUAACUGUUUCAUAAAAAUUUAUAAUAGAAUUUUAUUUUUUAGUCAAAAAGCUAAAAUAAAUUUAAAAGACGAGAAGACCCUAUAAAUCUUUAUAUUUAGAUAAUUACAAUUUUGUGGAUUUUUUUUGUUGUGAUUGUUGAUAAUAUUUUAUUGGGGUGAUAUUAAAAUUUAAAAAACUUUUAAUUAAUUAAAUCAUUAAUUUAUGAAUAAUUGAUCCGUUAUUAACGAUUAAAAAUUUAAGUUACUUUAGGGAUAACAGCGUAAUUUUUUUGGAGAGUUCAUAUCGAUAAAAAAGAUUGCGACCUCGAUGUUGGAUUAAGAGAUAUAUUUUGGUGUAGUCGCUAAAAUGUUAAGUCUGUUCGACUUUUAAAUUCUUACAUGAUCUGAGUUCAAACCGGUGUAAGCCAGGUUGGUUUCUAUCUUUAAAAA